rnacentral:rRNA from 1 species
CGGAACGGGUGAGUAACGCGUGAGGAACCUGCCUCAAAGGGGGGGACAACAGUUGGAAACGACUGCUAAUACCGCAUAAGCCCACGGCUCGGCAUCGAGCAGAGGGAAAAGGAGUGAUCCGCUUUGAGAUGGCCUCGCGUCCGAUUAGCUGGUUGGUGAGGUAACGGCCCACCAAGGCGACGAUCGGUAGCCGGACUGAGAGGUUGAACGGCCACAUUGGGACUGAGACACGGCCCAG